rnacentral:rRNA from 1 species
AUUGAACGCUGGCGGCAGGCCUAACACAUGCAAGUCGAACGAGUGGCGGACGGGUGAGUAAUGUAUGGGGACUGCCCGAUAGAGGGGGAUAACUACUGGAAACGGUAGCUAAUACCGCAUACUAUCGGAUAACCCAUAUGGGAUUAGCUAGUAGGUGAGGUAAUGGCUCACCUAGGCGACGAUCCCUAGCUGGUCUGAGAGGAUGACCAGCCACACUGGGACUGAGACACGGCCCAGACUCCGACGGAGGCAGCAGUGGGGAAUAUUGCACAAUGGGCGCAAGCCUGAUGCAGCCAUGCCGCGUGUAUGAAGAAGGCCCUAGGGUUGUAAAGUACUUUCAGUGGGGAGGCGUUACCGGCAGAAGAAGCACCGGCUAACUCCGUGCCAGCCGCCGCGGUAAUAC